UACAGAGGGGGCAAGCGUUGUUCGGAAUUACUGGGCGUAAAGGGCGCGUAGGCGGCCUGUUAAGUCGAACGUGAAAUCCCCGGGCUCAACCCGGGAACUGCGUCCGAUACUGGCAGGCUUGAAUUCGGGAGAGGGAUGUGGAAUUCCAGGUGUAGCGGUGAAAUGCGUAGAUAUCUGGAGGAACACCGGUGGCGAAGGCGGCGUUCUGGACUGCAACUGACACUGAGGAACGAAAGCCAGGGGAGCAAACGGG
rnacentral:rRNA from 1 species